GGCCCCAUCGUCUAGCGGUUAGGACAUCGCCCUCUCACGGCGGAAACAGGGGUUCGAUUCCCCUUGGGGCUACCA
rnacentral:tRNA from 1 species